AGUUACCACGUCUAAGGAUGGCGGCAGGCGCGUAAAUUACGCAGUCCUGACACGGGGAGGCAGCGACAAGAAAUAACAACGCAGGGC
rnacentral:rRNA from 1 species